rnacentral:rRNA from 1 species
CGCGGCCUAUCAGCUUGUUGGCGGGGUAACGGCCCACCAAGGCAACGACGGGUAGCUGGUUUGAGAGAACGAUCAGCCACACUGGAACUGAGACACGGUCCAGACUUCUACGGAAGGCAGCAGUAGGGAAUCUUGCGCAAUGGGGGAAACCCCGACGCAGCGACGCCGCGUGCGGGAUGACGGCCCUAGUGGUUGUAAACCGCUUUCAGCAGGGACGAAAAUGACGGUACCUGCAGAAGAAGUCCCGGCUAACUACGUGCCAGCAGCCGCGGUAAUACGUAGGGGACAAGCGUUGUCCGGAUUCAUUGGGCGUAAAGAGCUCGUAGGCGGUUCAGUAAGUUGGGUGUGAAAGCUCCGGGCUCAACCCGGAGAGGCCACUCGAUACUGCUGUGACUAGAGUCCAGUAGAGGAGCGUGGAACUCCUGGUGUAGCGGUGAAAUGCGCAGAUAUCAGGAAGAACACCGGCAGCGAAGGCGGCGCUCUGGGCUGGUACUGACGCUGAGGAGCGAAAGCAUGGGUAGCAAACAGGAUUAGAUACCCUGGUAGUCCAUGCCGUAAACGUUGGGCACUAGGUGUGGGAGGGAAUCAACCCCUUCCGUGCCGUAGCUAACGCAUUAAGUGCCCCGCCUGGGGAGUACGG